rnacentral:rRNA from 1 species
AAUAGAUACCCAGGUAGUCCACGCCGUAAACGAUGUCGACUUGGAGGUUGUUCCCUUGAGGAGUGGCUUCCGGAGCUAACGCGUUAAGUCGACCGCCUGGGGAGUACGGCCGCAAGGUUAAAACUCAAAUGAAUUGACGGGGGCCCGCACAAGCGGUGGAGCAUGUGGUUUAAUUCGAUGCAACGCGAAGAACCUUACCUACUCUUGACAUCCAGAGAACUUAGCAGAGAUGCUUUGGUGCCUUCGGGAACUCUGAGACAGGUGCUGCAUGGCUGUCGUCAGCUCGUGUUGUGAAAUGUUGGGUUAAGUCCCGCAACGAGCGCAACCCUUAUCCUUUGUUGCCAGCGGUUCGGCCGGGAACUCAAAGGAGACUGCCAGUGAUAAACUGGAGGAAGAUGGGGAUGACGUCAAGUCAUCAUGGCCCUUACGAGUAGGGCUACACACGUGCUACAAUGGCGUAUACAAAGAGAAGCGACCUCGCGAGAGCAAGCGGACCUCAUAAAGUACGUCGUAGUCCGGAUUGGAGUCUGCAAC